rnacentral:rRNA from 1 species
UACGUAGGGCGCAAGCGUUAUCCGGAAUUAUUGGGCGUAAAGAGCUCGUAGGCGGUGUGUCGCGUCGGCCGUGAAAACCUGCAGCUUAACUGUGGGCUUGCGGUCGAUACGGGCAUCACUGGAGUUCGGCAGGGGAGACUGGAAUUCCUGGUGUAGCGGUGAAAUGCGCAGAUAUCGGAAAGAACAUCAAUGGCGAAGGCAGCUUCCUGGGCUGAUAUUGACGCUGAGGCGCGAAAGCGUGGGUAGCGAACAGG